UGUGUGUGUGUGUGUGUGUGUGUGUGUGUGUUAUCUGCCAUGUGUGAAGGUAGGAAAAUGAGCUAUGAAUAAAAAAUUAGGAGGUUUAUUAUGCAACGCUCUUAAGGUCACAAGGAAAACAAAGGUGAUGUCAUCGUCCGGACGAGACAACAACAGUCACACACACACACACACACACACACACACACA
rnacentral:miRNA from 14 species